CACGUAGGGGGCAAGCGUUGUCCGGAUUUAUUGGGCGUAAAGAGCUCGUAGGCGGCUCAGUAAGUCAGGUGUGAAACCUCCAGGCUCAACCUGGAGACGCCACCUGAUACGGGCAGGCUAGAGUUCGGUAGGGGAGACUGGAAUUCCUGGUGUAGCGGUGAAAUGCGCAGAUAUCAGGAGGAACACCGGUGGCGAAGGCGGGUCUCUGGGCCGAUACUGACGCUGAGACGCGAAAGCGUGGGGAGCGAACAGG
rnacentral:rRNA from 1 species